rnacentral:rRNA from 1 species
UCGGGAAUUUUGGGCAAUGGGCGAAAGCCUGACCCAGCAACGCCGCGUGAGGGAUGAAGUAUUUCGGUAUGUAAACCUCGAAAGAAUGGGAAGAAUAAAUGACGGUACCAUUUAUAAGCUCCGGCUAACUACGUGCCAGCAGCCGCGGUAAUACGUAGGGAGCAAGCGUUGUUCGGAUUUACUGGGCGUAAAGGGCGCGUAGGCGGCGCGGUAAGUCACUUGUGAAAUCUCUGAGCUUAACUCAGAACGGCCAAGUGAUACUGCUGUGCUAGAGUGCGGAAGAUGCGACCGGAAUUCUGGGUGUAGCGGUGAAAUGCGUAGAUAUCAAGAGGAACACCUGAGGCGAAGGCGGGUUGCUGGGCCGACACUGACGCUGAUGCGCGAAAGCCAGGGGAGCAAACG